CGCCUCCCAUAAAUGGGAGGCAUGCCUGUCUGAGCGUCAUUUAAAACCAUAACCUUUGGGUUGUAUUGGGACUCGCCCCAUGGCGUCUCCUCAAAGUCAUCGUGUCUAAAAGCGUACGAGCUCCACUAGGAUGGAACGUUUGAGGACCUUAAACUCUCUGACUUGACCUCAGAUCAGGUAGGACUACCGCCUGAACUUAA
rnacentral:misc_RNA from 1 species